AACGAACGCUGGCGGCAGGCUUAACACAUGCAAGUCGAGCGCCCCGCAAGGGGAGCGGCAGACGGGUGAGUAACGCGUGGGAAUCUACCCAUCUCUACGGAAUAACGCAUGGAAACGUGUGCUAAUACCGUAUACGUCCUUCGGGAGAAAGAUUUAUCGGAGAUGGAUGAGCCCGCGUUGGAUUAGCUAGUUGGUGGGGUAAAGGCCUACCAAGGCGACGAUCCAUAGCUGGUCUGAGAGGAUGAUCAGCCACACUGGGACUGAGACACGGCCCAGACUGCUACGGGAGGCAGCAGUGGGGAAUAUUGGACAAUGGGCGCAAGCCUGAUCCAGCCAUGCCGCGUGAGUGAUGAAGGCCCUAGGGUUGUAAAGCUCUUUCACCGGUGAAUAUAAUGACGGUAACCGGAGAAGAAGCCCCGGCUAACUUCGUGCCAGCAGCCGCGGUAACAC
rnacentral:rRNA from 1 species